UACGUAGGGUGCAAGCGUUAAUCGGAAUUACUGGGCGUAAAGCGUGCGCAGGCGGCUUUGCAAGACAGAUGUGAAAGCCCCGGGCUCAACCCGGGAAGUGCACUUGAAACUGGGAGGCUAGAGUAUCGGAGAGGUUGGUGGAAUUCUCGGUGUAGAGGUGAAAUUCGUAGAUAUCGAGAGGAACACCGGUGGCGAAGGCGGCCAACUGGACGAAUACUGACGCUGAGACUCGAAAGCGUGGGGAGCAAACAGG
rnacentral:rRNA from 1 species